rnacentral:misc_RNA from 1 species
GAUGAAGAACGUAGCAAAAUGCGAUAAGUAGUGUGAAUUGCAGAAUUCAGUGAAUCAUCGAAUCUUUGAACGCACAUUGCGCCCCUUGGUAUUCCAUGGGGCAUGCCUGUUCGAGCGUCAUUUGUACCUUCAAGCUUUGCUUGGUGUUGGGUGUUUGUCUCGCCUUUGCGUGUAGACUCGCCUUAAAAUAAUUGGCAGCCGGCGUAUUGAUUUCGGAGCGCAGUACAUCUCGCGCUUUGCACUCAUAACGACAGCGUCCAAAAGUACAUUUUACACUCUUGACCUCGGAUCAGGUAGGGAUACCCGCUGAACUUAAGCAUAUCAAUAAGCGGAGGA